rnacentral:lncRNA from 1 species
UAUAGAUAGCAUUAAUGAUUCAGGUGGCCCUCCUUAAGUUUGUUGUAAUAAAGUGCUAAUUAUUCAAGACUUGGCCAAUUACACCUCUUCCCAAAGGCUAAGUUUAUAAUAACGGCUGUCUUUAAAUUAUAGUCUCUGGAAACAAAAUGAAAGAGAAAUAUAAAGAAAUGGAGACAGACCUCAAAUGAUCAGUAAUUCUUUAUCAAGCACCAGAAGGGCACAUUUUCAAGAGAGAAACUGGCAAACUGGUUACAAUAGGGGUCUGAGUUUUAUGGAGUUUCAUGAAUCUGAAUGUAUAGCGUUCUGAAUCACAGCAGAACGUGUUGGUUGGACAGUCAGGGGAUCAAUGUAGAUACAGGAAAUUGUGAAAGUCUAGAGACCAUUGUUUUCCUUUUCUUCCUGGAACCCAUUGUUCUUUUCUCUCUGGGGGUUGUUGUUUUUCAUAUCCUUCAAUGUCAAGGUUAAUUUAUGCGCUGCCCUUAAUGAAAUAAGUGUUAAUUAAGAGGAAGUUACUGAGAAUACAUGCACUCAUCGGAAUAUAGCUGUAGCUCAAUGCUCCUACUGUUUUAUUGAUAUUUGAAUCUAGCCCUUAAGAAAAUAUAUAGUUGACUUAAAUAUUUUGUAUUAUUCUUCACAUUGCCUUCCUGUAUUCUGGGUCCUAAUGUUUGAAUGCAUUUUUGCUGGUAAAUGCUAUGUGUCGUACACUGCUGGUGGGACUGCAAAUUGGUAAGGCCAAUCUGGAAAGCAGUAUGGAGAUACCUGGGAAAGCUGGGAAUGGAUCCACCAUUUGACCCAGCUAUCGCCCUCCUCGGACUAUCCCCUGAGGAUCUUAAGAGUGUACUAUAGGGAUACUGCCACAUCAAUGAUCAUAGCGGCACAAUUCACAAUAGCUAGACUGUGGAACCAACCUAGAUGCCCUUCAAUAGAUGAAUGGAUAAAAAAAAUGUGGCAUCUAUACACAAUGGAGUACUACGCAGCAACAAAAAAUGACAAAAUCAUAGAAUUUGCAGGGAAAUGGAUGGCAUUAGAGCAGAUUAUGCUAAGCAAAGCUAGCCAAUCCUUAAAAAACAAAUGCCAAAUGUCUUCUUUGAUAUAAAGAGAGCAACUAAGAACAGAACAGGGAGGAAGAGCAUGAGGAAAAGAUUAACAUUAAACAAAGACGAGUGGGGGGAGAGAAAGGGAGAGAGAAGGGAAAGCAUAUGGUAAUGGUAGGAGACCCUCAAUGUUAC